rnacentral:tRNA from 1 species
GGCUUUGAAUAAUAAGGCUUUGAUGCGGAUUGCAAAUCCGUUUACAGCGGUUCGAUUCCGCUUGAGGCCUCCA